rnacentral:rRNA from 1 species
AUUGAACGCUGGCGGCAUGCCUUACACAUGCAAGUCGAACGGCAGCACGGGAGCAAUCCUGGUGGCGAGUGGCGAACGGGUGAGUAAAGUAUCGGAACGUGCCCAGUCGUGGGGGAUAACGUAGCGAAAGUUACGCUAAUACCGCAUACGAUCUAUGGAUGAAAGCGGGGGAUCGCAAGACCUCGCGCGAUUGGAGCGUGCGAUAUCAGAUUAGGUAGUGGGUGGGGUAAAGGCUCACCAAGCCGACGAUCUGUAGCUGGUCUGAGAGGACGACCAGCCACACUGGGACUGAGACACGGCCCAGACUCCUACGGGAGGCAGCAGUGGGGAAUUUUGGACAAUGGGCGAAAGCCUGAUCCAGCCAUGCCGCGUGCAGGAUGAAGGCCUUCGGGUUGUAAACUGCUUUUGUACGGAACGAAAAGGUUUGGCCUAAUAAGCUGAGCUCAUGACGGUACCGUAAGAAUAAGCACCGGCUAACUACGUGCCAGCCGCCGCCGUAAUAC